rnacentral:rRNA from 1 species
GACGAACGCUGGCGGCGCGCCUAACACAUGCAAGUCGAACGAGCGAGAGAGAGCUUGCUUUCUCAAGCGAGUGGCGAACGGGUGAGUAACGCGUGAGGAACCUGCCUCAAAGAGGGGGACAACAGUUGGAAACGACUGCUAAUACCGCAUAAGCCCACAGGUCGGCAUCGACCAGAGGGAAAAGGAGCAAUCCGCUUUGAGAUGGCCUCGCGUCCGAUUAGCCAGUUGGUGAGGUAACGGCCCACCAAGGCAACGAUCGGUAGCCGGACUGAGAGGUUGAACGGCCACAUUGGGACUGAGACACGGCCCAGACUCCUACGGGAGGCAGCAGUGGGGAAUAUUGCACAAUGGGGGAAACCCUGAUGCAGCGACGCCGCGUGGAGGAAGAAGGUCUUCGGAUUGUAAACUCCUGUUGUUGAGGAAGAUAAUGACGGUACUCAACAAGGAAGUGACGGCUAACUACGUG